AAUAAAAAAAAAUACUCCCCCCAUGUCGACAUUUUGAGUCCCGUCAGUGCAGAAGUAAACAAACAUUCCAAUGGUUUCACUUCUCUGACGCUAGUUUCCUUCCUUCCCUUUUUUUCCUCUUUCCCUCCACCAUGGGCAACUGUCUGCUGCUCCUCGGCCUCAAGAAGGAGAAACGUAGCUACGAGGAAGUGGGAUACCAGCACGGGCCAGUCACCCUCCUCCUUGUGGGAUUGGACAGCGCAGGAAAGACAACAGCAGCAAAGGGCAUUGUGGGAGACCCAGUGGAGGACGUGGCCCCAACUGUCGGCUUUGCCCCAGAAUACCUGGAGUACCGAGGCUGCGAGGUCACCAUAUAUGACCUCGGGGGCGGGGCCAAGAUACGACCUGUUUGGGCCAAGUAUUUUUCUGAGGUGCACGGUGUCAUCUUCGUGGUGGACUCUACUGCAGGAGGACGGCUGGAGGAGUGUCGAGAGGUCCUGACUUCACUCCUUGCUGACCCUAAGAUUGCGGGGAAGCCUGUGUUAAUCCUAGCCAACAAGCAAGACAUGGAUGGAGCGAUGGAUGAGAUAGACCUAGUGGAAGAACUCAAAGUGGAAGAGGUCGUCAACAGGUACAAGUGUCCGACUCGCGUGGAGACCUGCUCCGCCCUGGCCACUCAGAACAGGAAGCCAGACAAGCCUAUAGCAGAUGGAUUCAGGUGGUUAGUGGACACCAUAGUCGUGCAUUACAAGGAGAUCAACACCAGAGUCAUCACCGACUUGGAGAGAGAGAGAGAGGAGCAGAGGAAAGAACUGGAGGAAAGGAAGGAGAGAUUGAAAGCAUUGCGAGCCCAGAGGGAGGCAUUGGGGGGGAGUGGAGGAAGGAGAGAAAUCCCUCCACUCCAGGCCGCAAAGCUCUCCUCCUCCUCCUCCUCCUCCUCUCCUUCCUCCUCCCCGCAGGCCUCCUCUGUGGUCACGAAAGCAGAGGUGGUGAUGAGGAAGGAGGAGGAGGAGGAAGAAGAAGAGGUGGUGGAGGAGAAGGUUUCAACAGUGCCACCUAAUGUUAUACCAAAUGGUUCUCUCCCACAGCAUCGAACAACAGCGGAGAGACAAGAAUUAAAAGAACUUGGAUUUGAAUCGUCAGGAGAACUAGCGUCUUCUUCCUCCUCCUCCUCCUCAAUAGUGAAGGAUACUGCCACCACCAAACCCUCCACAUAUGCCUCUCCACAACCCCCCAACCCCCUCCACAACCCCCCACCAGCCCCCCCACCUCCUCUCCUCCCCCCCAUCGUGUUAUCCUUGUCAAAGAGUCAUCACCACCACCACCACCACCAGCACAGCCCAGCCACCAAAACACUGCUGCUGCUACUACUACUACUACUACUACUGCUACUACUGCUGCUAUUACUGCAUCCUCGCCCUCUGCCACGUCGCUAACUAGUGGUGGCCACAACCCCAGACUGGACCUAAGCAUCGAGAGACGGCACACAGAAUGCAUCCCAAUAGACUCCGACGACGAGAUGUUUGACCUCCCCCCACCCCAUUCCUCCCCCUCCCCCCUCCUGCUGCACCCCACCCACCUCCCCCACCACCACCACCACAACUUCUUGGAUAACGGUUAUCUUGCUCCCUCUGCCGCUGUGUCUCCAAGUAGCAGUGCCAAAGCCAACCACCACAACCACAGCAGCAGCAACGGUCUGGAGCUGGAGGGAACGAGCAAGCCAUCCAAGAAGAAGUCCUUUCUCAAACGUUACCACAAGACCGCUCCGCUCAUCACCAGAGACCAGGAGGUGCCCCCACAGCAGGCAUAGGGCGGCAGGGUGUCAGGGGGAGUGCCACAUCUAAGAGACAAAAAAAUUUAUCUUAUCUUCAAUUGAUUUUAAGUUUAAGGGUGCCAGAAAGAUGACAAAAGAGAGAGAGAUAGAGAGAGAGAGAGUAGGUGUGUUGAGUGCUGCAUCUUGAAUUGGUGUUACUAAAUAUUUCACUUCCUUGAACGUUCUAGCAAAAGUUUUAGUGACACACAAACUCCAAGUAGUCAUCUGUGUCUUAAAUUUUGAACAUAAUGAACCAAAAGCGAAAAAAAAUAAAAGUACCUUGAUCUUGAGAAAAACUAAAAUUAAUAAGGAUUAGAAACUUAAGAGGAAAAAAUGCAAAGAGAGAGAGAGAGAGAGAGAGAGAGAGUACAGUGGAUAAGGAUUGAAAGACUAAAUAGAAGAGGAAUGAGACAAGGAUUAAAGGACAAAGUUUACAGUGGCACUCUCUCUGUGGCUACACAAUAAAUAUACAUUCCUGUGUGUGUGUGUGUGUGUGUGUGUGUGUGUGUGUGUGUGUGUGUGUGUGUGUGUGUGUUACCUCUGUAGAUUAUUAAAUAAUUAAGCAUUUCUUCAAGGUGUGUGAGUGGUAGUACAAAGAGAGAGAGAGAGAGAGAGAGAGAGAGAGAGAGAGAGAGAGAGAGAGAGAGAGAGAGAGAGAGAGAGAGAGAGCAAA